rnacentral:lncRNA from 1 species
UAGAGGAUAAUCAGUCAUAUCUUGGUCAGUUUUAGUGAUAAAACAAUAAAAAUGAUGUCAAAAUAGAGCUAAGACAUUGGCCUUUAAAACGCAGCAUUUGUACUUUAAUUAACUUAUUUGCAUAUUCAUGAAUAUUAAUGAGAAUGUUACAAAAUGACAAAAUUUUAUUAGAAAAUAAUAUUUUUAAAAUUUUAAAUCAAUUUAAAUGUACCAAACAGUUUUGAUCUGACCUGAAAGUCUCUCAGGGCUUUUGCAAAAUAUAUCUUGAUUCUUUAUCAGUAAGUCUUUAAAUUUGUACUUUUGCUCUUGUGUCAUUUCAGUGGAGCAACUUUCAAAAACAUCAGUCAAGUGAGGAGGAAUAAUUUUGCUUUGGUCUCCUGUCUCUACAGCGUUUGUCUGCUCAGUUUCAGGCGGUAAUGUGUCGGUAGGUGUCAUGCUGCCAAUAACAAUUGUAGCAGAGGCCUGGAGUCACUUGGUAACAGUUCGUAUUCAGAUUACUACAGUAUACUGAUAUUGGAACCUGUGUCUAGAAGAGUAGACCAUAUCGUUGGGUUAACAGGUCUACUAAAAGUUUGAAAUCACAACGGUCUUCAGUGUAAAGUUCAGUCAACAUAGAACGUGCGUCUCCCUUAAGACAACUUACAAGACAUAAUCCCUUGGACCGGGUAUCCCAGUUGUUUAAAUCACUACAAAUUUGAAACGAGAUCAAGAACUCGUUCAAGUCAUCAGUACAAAGGCUGAUCACUCCAGAAAGCAGGCAGCAAAUGUCACCCGAAAAAAGGCUUAUAAGGAAAUCCAGUCAACAAUUUUACUUGUGUGAUUGAAUGGUCAGCAUCUUGAAAGACAAAAGGAAUAACAGGAACUCAAGUUGUUGCAAAACAACACAAUGAAAUGAAUUGUAUUUAUAAAAUCAAUAAAAUGAUUUUGUUAAUGG